AAAAAAAAAAAAUGCUUAAUUUAUCGACGCUUGGCGAUAUUUAUCGAUUCUCAAUCUCGAGUAUGGAUGUAUUUAGCUUCGGUAUUUCUUGUUUGGCAUAAAGCAAACUUUGCAAAGCCGCAUCAAAGAUAUACGCUUUCGUUGCGCACGACGCGCGUACGACGCGCGGCCACGCACGUGGAUACGCAAGCGGAGAUUGUCGCCAGUGACAUUGCGAUAUUCCCGCAGUCGAGAGGAAAGUCAUAAUUACGGUCGUCCGCUUGAGAUUUCACGGUUACCACGUCCGUCGCGCAUUCACGCGGGUUCCGUAAUCGCGCGGUGAGAUUGUCGGCACGCGGCUCCGUCGCGUCGCGACGCACAGCGAGCCAAAUCCCGAAAAGCUGGCCAAAAGUAAAAAAAAAAAUUUCAAAUUUUCAAGAAUAUCAUUACAUUUUUUAAAAGAGAACUAAAUUCCUUAUCAAAUGUCGCCAACCCUAGAAUCCUCUACCUGAAUUUUCAGUUCAGUUCAAAGUUGUCCUUCGUACGGAACAGACGUGACAGUUAAGAAUAACGAAUAUUUUAUACCUAUAGUCUUGUGCGCUUAUUUCGAAAACGAAGUGAGCAAAUUCAAUGCUGCAAAAUGGAUUCUAUUCCUGGAGGUUACACUUCGCUCUUUCAAAUAAAAAAAAAAUUAGCUGCCCAUAUCUGCCCCUCUGGUUUUGCGACAAUUUUUUGUACGAGCGCUCUACGCUGUGAGUUUCGAUAUCGAUCGCUAGCGGCAUAGAAUAAACAGAUGCUGCGGCAUUCAGGAGUUGAGCGACUACGGCAGCGCGAACCUGUUACGCAGCCUCGGUCACCCCGACUUUUGACCUCCCGCAUCCCCCUUCGAACAUUACUGAUUCUCAACCCGCUCGUACACAGCCCACCUGGCUGCCAUUGACUUCGUCGUGUCCUUUCAACGUUUCUCGGCGAUGCGAAAAAGAGAGGCUUGAUUAAUGUUGACUUUGCCGAGCGCGCUCUUCAUGUGCGCAAUAUGAAAAUAGAAGGAUAAUUGUGUGUUUAAUUUAAAUUUACAACUUUCUUCUCUGUUAUUGUGCGUCGACGAGGGCAAAGGAAGAACUUGAAUCCCUUGUUACUUUACUCGUGCCCGCCGCCAGCGUUUUAUAUCGACAUCGAACGAGAGGAAAAGAGCAGCGUCCCGUGAGACUUUAAUGCUGCAUUCAAUACGAAGUAUUUCAGGUUCAGUGGGACCGUAUGUUGCUACGGCUGCUUUAAUCUACUAAGCGAUUAGGAAAAGUUGCAGGAGAAUUUACUUUGCAAGGUACAGGUAAGGUUGUUCGCUAAGAAUAAACGAACGCGACAAAGUCGUAUACUGGAAUAUUUGAUCGAUUUCGCGAUUCAUCAGACAUGACUAGUGAAUGCCAAUUGACGCGCGCGCGCGCGCGUCGAGAAUCCGCCUGCGGCCAUUAUCCUAGCUGGUACUGACGUGACAAUCGCCAUGAUGUCGAAAACGCGUUGCAGCGUAGAAUCAAGUGCCGACGAGCAAACAUUCGUAAUCCCCCUGAGCCCGGCGGUGAACAAAGUCGGAAGGAAGAAGAGCACGGAUGGCGAUGUCUCCUGGAAAACUGAGCGCGCUACACUCACACGGUCAAGUCGUCACUUGAGGCAGUGUCUCGCAAUUUUACCUUUACCUUUACCACGCGAUCAGGUGGAGACGGCGGAAAGGCACGCGAGAGGGUUGACGAUCCGUCGGUUGAAGAGCCACUGGUCGAGGGGGAAGGAGAGAAACGAGCGAGUACGUUCGAGAACCCCUUCAACGCGGGGUAACUAGCUGGCAGGCAGGCAGGCAGGCAAGCAGGCAGGCAAGCAGACAGGCAGGCAAACAGCAGGCAUAGUCGGUUCGCACACAGGUGAGGCCGAUAUCGACCUGACGCCAGAAAUACCGCGCAGCAUCGACCGUCGCCGUUAUACCUGG